UACGUAGGGUGCAAGCGUUAAUCGGAAUUACUGGGCGUAAAGCGUGCGCAGGCGGUUUUGUAAGUCUGACGUGAAAUCCCCGGGCUCAACCUGGGAAUUGCGUUGGAGACUGCAAGGCUAGAAUCUGGCAGAGGGGGGUAGAAUUCCACGUGUAGCAGUGAAAUGCGUAGAGAUGAGGAGGAACACCGAUGGCGAAGGCAGCCCCCUGGGUCAAGAUUGACGCUCAUGCACGAAAGCGUGGGGAGCAAACAGG
rnacentral:rRNA from 1 species